rnacentral:pre_miRNA from 1 species
AUAGGGGAAAAUGAGAGAAAUGAUAAGAGGGGAGAGGAUGGGAAGGAGGAGUAACAAAAGUGAAAACAAUUUCAAAUAGAUUUCAGUUUUUAAUUUUUUUUUCACUUUUGUUACUAAUUCCUCCCAUCCUCCACUCUCAUCUUCCCUCUUAAUUUCAUAUUUAC